rnacentral:rRNA from 1 species
AUUGAACGCUGGCGGCAUGCCUUACACAUGCAAGUCGAACGGUAACAGGUUAAGCUGACGAGUGGCGAACGGGUGAGUAAUACAUCGGAACGUGCCCAGACGUGGGGGAUAACGUAGCGAAAGCUACGCUAAUACCGCAUACGAACUGAGGUUGAAAGCGGGGGACCGUAAGGCCUCGCGCGUUUGGAGCGGACGAUGGCAGAUUAGGUAGUUGGUGGGGUAAAGGCUUACCAAGCCUACGAUCUGUAGCUGGUCUGAGAGGACGACCAUCCACACUGGGACUGAGACACGGCCCAGACUCCUACGAGAGGCAGUGGGGGGGAAUUUUGGACAAUGGGCGAAAGCCUGUUCCAGCAAUGCCGCGUGCAGGAUGAAGGCCUUCGGGUUGUAAACUGCUGUUGUACGGAACGAAAAGGCGCCUACUAAUACUGGGUGUUGAUGACGGUACCGUAAGAAUAAGCACCGGCUAACUACGUGCCAGCCGCCGCGGUAACAC